rnacentral:pre_miRNA from 1 species
ACAAUACUCCCUCCGUCCCAAAAUUCUUGUCUUAGAUUUGUCUAAAUACGGAUGUAUCAAGUCACAUUUUAGUAUUAGAUACAUCCGUAUCUAGGCAAAUCUAAGACAAGAAUUUUGGGACGGAGGGAGUAUAUG